rnacentral:misc_RNA from 1 species
CUUCCCACAGCCUGAUAUUCAGACAGUGGCUACAGCUUCAGGGAAUACAACUAAUGUUGAUUCCCGCCAUCUACCAGAGCAUUAUGACAAUGCUAUUUUUUACGGGAUGCCACAAUACCCUGGUGUUCAACAUCAUCCUCAGCAUCAUGUGCCAAAUCUUGAUUUAGGUGUUGUUACUGCAUCCAAUUUCUAUGUUCCUUACAUGACCCCAUCUUCUAGUAUUCCUUUAAGUCAUGGGUCUUGUGACCGUUUACCAUCUUCCACCAAUUAUGGAGUCAUUGGAGUUUCUGCUGAUGAGUAUGGAACAAACAGCCACUUCAUGGAUAAUGCCAGAGGUUCAUACAAGAGAAAGAAUGCGGAAGGCAACCCUGGGAAUUUUCAGUAUUUCAAUGCCUCAGCAAGCUCCAGUUCUUCAGCUACAUCCUUAAAUACUAGACAUCCUGAUGGGGUUGCUUUAAUGGAUGCUGC